AUACAGAGAUGGCGACCGUUGUUCGGAAUUACUGGGCUUAAAGCGCGCGUAGGCGGGUGAAUAAGUUGGGUGUGAAAUAUCAUGGCUUACCCAUGGUGCUGCAUUCAAAACUGUUUACCUUGAGUGCAGGAGGGGAGAGUGGAACUCCUGGUGGAGCGGUGAAAUGUGUUGAUAUCAGGAGGAACGCCGGUGGCGAAAGCGACUCUCUGGUCUGCUACUGACGCUGAGGUGCGAAAGCUAGGGGAGCAAACGGGAUUAGAAACCCCGGUAGUCC
rnacentral:rRNA from 1 species